AUUCAGCUGACGAGCUCCAAAUAAGACGAAACGCAUGUCCUGGAU
rfam:Schistosoma curassoni strain Dakar, Senegal genome assembly, scaffold: SCTD_scaffold0000830